rnacentral:rRNA from 1 species
UACGUAGGGGGCGAGCGUUAUCCGGAAUGACUGGGCGUAAAGGGCGUGUAGGCGGCAAUGUAAGUCCGGAGUGAAAGUCCUGCUUUCAAGGUGGGAAUUGCUUUGGAGACUGCGUAGCUUGAGUACAGAAGAGGUAAGCGGAAUUCCCGGUGUAGCGGUGAAAUGCGUAGAGAUCGGGAGGAACACCAGUGGCGAAGGCGGCUUACUGGGCUGUAACUGACGCUGAGGCGCGAAAGCGCGGGGAGCGAAC